rnacentral:tRNA from 1 species
GAGCGCGUAGCUCAGUUGGUAGAGCAACUGACUUUUAAUCAGUAGGUCCAGGGUUCGAACCCCUGCGCGCUCACCA